rnacentral:rRNA from 1 species
UUGGAGGGCAAGUCUGGUGCCAGCAGCCGCGGUAAUUCCAGCUCCAAUAGCGUAUAUUAAAGUUGUUGCAGUUAAAAAGCUCGUAGUUGAAUUUUAGGCCUGGCCAGGCGGUCCGUCUUUGGCGAGUACUGUCUUGUUGUCGGGUCUUCCUUCUGGUGAACCAGUAUGUCCUUUAUUGGGUGUGUUGGGGAGCCAGGACCAUUACCUUGAAAAAAUUAGAGUGUUUAAAGCGGGCUAUUGCUUGAAUAGAUUAGCAUGGAAUAAUAGAAUAGGACGUUGUGGUUCUAUUUUGUUGGUUUCUAGGACCACCGUAAUGAUUAAUAGGGAUAGUUGGGGGCAUUAGUAUUCAAUUGUCAGAGGUGAAAUUCUUGGAUUUAUUGAAGACUAACUAUUGCGAAAGCAUUUGCCAAGGAUGUUUUCAUUAAUCAAGAACGAAAAGUUAGGGGGACGUACGAACGAGUACUACGAGUACGUACCGUUACGGUACGUUUAACCCUUAAACUAAACUUAAACUUAGUCCGGACCGUAACGGUAAGGUAACGGGUCCGGGUCCGGUUUACGUUUUUACUUUUACCGUAACCGUACCGUUUCC